AUAAGAACCUAAAGAUUAAAAUCAGAGAGAACUGCAAAGAAGAUCAGAAAUUUAAUAUAUCGGGAAGAUCAAGGCCCUCAAUUGUUUAUGGAGCCUGAUAGAAGGCACAUUGAGAAAAAGAUCAGAGCAGGUGAAGGUGGAAGCAGAGAUGUGACUUGUGGUGCCACAAUCCAGCAACACCUGGAUCCUCCAGAAGCUGGCAGUGACAAAAACAGACUCCUCUUUAGGGCCUUUAUUGGGAGCAUGAACCUGGUACCAUAGUCUCAGACCUUGGCUCCAGAUUUUUCAUCAGGUGCUACUGACUCUUAGGACUCAGAAGGUUCCCCUCUCUCCUGUGUUUGAGCUGUUCCAGUUCUCAGCCUGAACUUCGCACCCCUCAUACAGUGGCCUGGGGAUUUCUGAAUCUGUCACACCAUGAGCAAGCAGAAGAGGAAGAGCAAUAUUUCUGGACUAUUCAUCAAGACAUCUCAUUCCACAAGCAGCAUCUGACUUUGUUAAGAAACAAAAAGGCAUUCAACCAGAAGCCAGAGGCAACAUGAUUUAUGGGGUUGGAAGAAUCAUUGUUUUAACCAUCUCAAAAUAGAAUCUUCUCUAUAAGAGCAAGGAUCAUGUUUCAUUUCUGAAUGCUACUGCCUAGCUCAGCAUCUGCUACACA